UCCUCGUUAGUAUAGUGGUGAGUAUCCCCGCCUGUCACGCGGGAGCCCGGGGUUCGAUUCCCCGACGGGGAG
rfam:Ciona savignyi cont_55748, whole genome shotgun sequence.